rnacentral:rRNA from 1 species
UAGGCUGGGUGUGUAAGCGUAGCGAUACGUUGAGCUAACCAGUACUAAUGACCCGAGAGGCUUAACCUUACAACACCGAAGGUGUUU